rnacentral:rRNA from 1 species
GGAUAAGUUAGAAAGGGCGCACGGUGAAUGCCUUGGCACUAGGAGCCAAUGA